CUUGGUCAUUUAGAGGAAGUAACGGUCGUAACAAGGUUUCCGUAGGUGAACCCGCAGAAGGAUCAUUACAAAUCGCUGUGGGUGGGUACUUGUACCUAUUCACAUAUAUGGUCUUUGUCAGUGAAAGCUGGCAAUUGACAAAUAUACGCUUGUCUAGUUUGACAGUUUUACAGUGAAUCCUAAUAUAUACAACUUUUAACAAUGGAUCUCUUGGCUCUUGCAACGAUGGGGAACGCAGUAAAGUGCGAAAUGUAGUGCGAUUUGCAUGAAUCUGUGAGUCACCUAAUUUUUGAACGCAACUUGCGCUCCGUAAGGAGCAUGUCUGUUUGAGUACCGACCAACCUACUACCGCAAGGUGACUUGGUUUGCUAUCCCUUUGGGGGAUCAAACUGAAAUGCAGCAAGAUAAAGAGAGAGGAUUAAUAUCCAAGUGCUAGAGACGCGAGUCUUCUCUUGGAUAUUGCAUCUGACCUCUAAACCUUCUCAAUGGUCUCAAAUCAGGCAAGACUACCCGCUGAACUUAAGCAUAUCAAUAAGCGGAGGA
rnacentral:rRNA from 1 species